rnacentral:misc_RNA from 1 species
AAUCACAGGGGCCAUAGCAGUGAAAGAUACUCACCUUCAUCUGCUGGUUCUCAAGAAGUUAAAGACUCAGAAGAUGCUGUUAUUUCCCACUCUGAGUCAGUUUCAAGUGGCUCAGUUGCAAAUUCUGAUGGUGGAUCAUCAACAAAGUUUUAUCCACUCAUUCUCCAAUCUAGUAAUAAUACUGUUAGCAAAGGAGAGAUUUCCGUUUCGGCAUUGCCCAUCCAGUAUAAAAGUUCUAUUAACCAAGAUAGCAAUUCAAUUUCUUUUGAACAAUCUCAAAUGGGUAUAUCCCCUGAGGAUAGUAAUUCUAUGGAUAGUAAUGUAGCAUCUGUAACGAAUGGCUUUCCUUCUGCUGGAAGAACAAUUGCAAAAAUUCAGUCAUCAAACAGUGUUGUGACAAGCGAAGCUUCAAACACAAGCUCCAACCGUUCUGACUUGAGUAUGAACAUUAUAGAUGAAGGGCCAACUAAUGAUUCAUUGGAUUUUGAGCAGUUUUUUCAAGAGGGUUACUGUAAAGUGUCAUCCUUAAGUGAGUUUCAUGAAUCAGCAGAAGUCAGUUUUGUGGACAACAACAUCAGUCCUGGUGAUUUAGAAAAAUCUGAAGAAGAUGGUGACAAUGAUGAUAUGCUUGGAGGUGUUUUUGCUUUCUCUGAGGAAGGUUGAUGUGUGUCUCCCAUUUUCAAGUUCUGCUGAAUUAAUUGCACCUUCUGUUUCAUUCAAUUUAUUAUUAUGCAAAGUCUGCUCCAGCCUAACGGAGGGUUAGAUGCUAAUUGAUAAAAGUUGCAGGUAAUAUCCCCUCAACGUUCCAUUGAGAAUGUUACUGACUGAUUAAUACAAGAUCACUGCCAGUGCAAAUAAUGCCUGGCUUUCUCCCUUUCUAAAUCUGAUGUACAUGCUGUAAAUUGAUAUUCAUAA